rnacentral:tRNA from 1 species
GUGCCUAUUGUGUAAUGGUUAGCACAGGGGUUUGUGGAGCCCCUAGUCCCGGUUCAAAUCCGGGUAGGCACCCCA